rnacentral:rRNA from 1 species
AUGUCCACCCCUCACCUACGUCAGCACCUAGGGUUUCACCAGAGCGCGCCCAUGGAGAUCCAGAGCGUCGUGCGCACGACACAGCAGCUCCUGCCGGAACUCGACGCUCCUCCUGCAAGCAGGGGAUGGAGGGAUUCAUCAGCUGAAAGAGAGGCUCAAACUUGCCGAGAAAGCGACAUUCUUCAAGGUGCCCCCAAAAGGAGACAAGGCAUUGAGCUUGACAAACUUCCUGAGGAUAUGCUACAUCAUAUACAUUCACUUAUGCCAGUAAAAGACGCUGGCCGUGCCGCCUGUGUAUCUAAACGAUUUCUGCAUUCAUGGAGAUGUUAUUCAAAUCUCAAACUCAAUAAACGAACACUUGGGUUGAUUGGCGACAAAUUUGAGGGAAAUGAAAUAUAUCACAUCAACAAAGUUGACCAAAUUCUUAAUAGUUAUUCUAAAAAUGGGAUGAAGGUGAAGUCACUUAAACUUGAUCUUUUCCAUUGUAGCAGUGCGAGUGCCUUCCAUCUGGACCGGUGGCUCAGAAUUGCUCUCAAAUCUGGUAUCAAAGAACUAAGCUUUUCGUUGUCUCGUUCCAUGAAAGAAGAAUACUGUUUUCCAUGUUCGGUUUUAUAA